UCCUUGGCUGUCCUUUACCUCAUGGUGUGGGGUGUGCAGAUAGCAGGUUGUGGCUUGGUGAGUGCUCUUCACUUCAGGUCAAGGUGAGGCACAGUUAACAUGCUAACUACUUUCCUCAGUUCUCUCUGAGUUGUGUAAAGCUCCCGAUGCCAGACUUCCUCUUAAUUUUGCACAUUAUUAAAGUCCAAAGAGUUAAGAUUUGGUGAUGAGGGGCAAAGGGCCAGCUGUCACAGAAAUCAAUGAAAUGAUACACAGAAAUGGGUAUCAUGAAAAGGCCACUGGACUUGGGAAAACUGGGUGCCUGUCCUUGCCCUGCCAUGUACUUACCUGUGUGACUGGAGGUGAGAUGUUUUACCUAUGGGCCUCAGUUUCUCAUUACAAAAUGACAGAGAAGACUAGAUACCUAAGUUCCUAAGUUUGUGACAUUUGUGAAUUUUUCUUGGCCCUCUGUGAGUAGAGUGCUAAAUUUAGAGGCUUCCUGUGGUUGAACUGAUGUCCAAUUCUCAGGGAACCCAGACUUCUCAGUUCAGAACCCAGUUCCAGAUUUUUGUGGGAAUAGGGAAAGGUAUUAAAUAACUCCAUUGAAUUCUUUCCUGCAUAAUGCCCUGCUGUGGCUGAGACUCAAUGAGGUCAUCACCUCCAACACACAGAACCCCUCAUCAUCUCCUUACAGCCAGACUGGAGCUUCCAAGGACAUCAGGUUGGCAAGGAUUGUGAGUACCCUAAACAUCUAAAGAGGCCCUCUAAUAAGGGACAUAUUUGUUCUUCAACAGUUUCCUAACUUGAGACCACAAAUGCGUAAUCUCUCUAAUAUCCUAAAGCUUGGACAAACUGGGCAGCCCCUGAGCAGACCGCACAGAGCUUAAAUGUCAGUGCUUUCCUUCCAGAAAGAAAAAGAAUGGUCCUACACCUCCCAAUCCAUGGGCUGAUACAUAUGCCAAGGGAGCCGGAUGAAGAAGUGGGUGAUUUUAAAUAGCUAAGACUGCCCAUGGGCAAACGUUCUUUGGCUUUUCUCCUCUGCAAUAAGUAUACCUUCCUCUCUCCUGGUCCUUUUCUCCUUUCCCAGGCCCCUCUAUCAAUAAUAAUUCUGGCUCUCAGAUGACUACAGUUGAUUAGGUGGAACUGAUAGGAUAAAGGUGACACCCUUCCCAAGGCUAUCUAUAAUGCAAAAAGAUAUCCAAGAAAAAGAGAGGUAGGGAACACCUUGGGAAACCAUUUCUGGAAGACAGCCAGUCCCUGCUGUAGACAAGCCUCAUUUUCCUUCCCCCAAAUGUUAAAGAGUAAAUUCCUCCUGUAGCCUUAGCUCUCUUUUCUAUCUUUGGCUUGCUUUUUAUGAACUAUCUUUAGAGUGCCAAAUUAGAACAGGGUAGGCAGAGGCAGGAAUAUGCCCAAAUUUGGGAAGACCUGGUUGGGAAUAGUCGAAAGCCUUGAUAUGUGCAAAGAAAGAACCAUUUGAUCAACCCAGUUCUUAAUACAGGAUACUAACUUAAAAUUUAGACUCAAGUUAUACGAUAAUUCAAACAUUUAUUGUAUUUAUACUAUUCUAUAUGUACUUUUCCAGGAACCAGGAAUACAAAACUGACAUUUCUCUGUACAGAGGCUCAGACUAGUAGAGAACAGUUAGGUACGCCGUUAAUUAUAAACUAAUAUGUAUCAUCAAUUAUGGGUUUUUAUGGGGGUUUGGCAGGUGGAAGGGACCAGGGAGAGAUGAUGAGUGAUGAUGGUUAUGUAGUCUUUAGGAGGAUGCAAUUAUAACAUUGCUCUUCCUUUCACGCACCACAUGAUUUAGCAAGUACUUCAUAUUGGCUCCACCAUUAACAUGGUCAAUGGCUUCUGGAUACUCACAGUUCAGGCACAGUUUCUCCUGAAGAUUUUUUACCUCUCCCAUCUUUAAGAAAUUGUCUGGAUGUCCAUGAAAGAUGCUGACACUUGUAUUAAUUCAUUAAAAAACACCACCCCCUCCCUGAAAUAAACUAAAAAGUAAUGAAUUCAUAGAAAAAAAUUUCACCAAGAUUGAAACUAGAGAAUAUACCUAGACUUGCACUUUGAGCUUUGAGAAAUGUGUACCUAUUCACCAUUCCAACGUGAAGAAGCUCUGCAGUAGGAAAAAUAAUUAACACACUUAUAGUCUACUGCCCAUGUAAGGAUCAGCUCCGGCUAAGAGGCCAAAGAUGGGUGACAUCGUUAUGCUCUGCCUUUAUUUUUUCUUUCUUACCCACUUAGCUUCCUAAUUGGAGGAAGGAGGCGUGGUAAAGGUAUAUGAAGACUAUGGUUUAAUUAGACCAGAAAACACUGUCAUAAUCUCUGGGGUCAUCAGAAUGUCCAGUUUUGUCUUUGGGCCAAGAUAAGGGCAGUGGGAUUUAUGAUGUGUUGUUUAUAGUCUGAAACUACUCUGGUGAUCACCAGGGUCAGUUUCUUUAAUGAUGGUUUCCAACUGGCCUAAUACAUUAAGUAAGACUGGCUGAUAACAUGACCAGACAGACAUAAAGACCCUGUUGGGAAUGACAUUGAACUCUCAAAGUCAAGAUUUCUUACACAAAUCUAUCAGCUGGAGAAAAUGAAGGCAGUGUGGUAUAUGUGUGCAAAUAAGGACAUUAUGAAGCUUAAAUAUGGAAUGUCUCUUGGACCCCCGAUGUCAUC
rnacentral:lncRNA from 10 species